UUUAAUUUACUCGUAUCUCGACAAAAAGCUGCAAAACCAAGUUCUAUACUAGCCUUUAUGACCCAAAGAUAGUGUUGCAUAGUGUAAUUUAACUGUAUUAAUAAAUGGAGAACCUAUUCACUAAGAACUAAGUCCAUUAUGAAAUUCACUUUAAUAUAACUUACACUGGUUUGCGAGGAAAUACAUAAUCAAUGACAGGUUCAGCAAUUGGCGUUUACAUUUUAGUUUUACCCGCUUUAAAGUUGUCCUCCCUCGCAAAGGGUAGUCAUCUUGACGAGAUGCGAGGGCUUAUGUGUGUUGACUCAUGCAGGCCGUGCUGGUAGGGCCACCCAUGUCAGAGGGGCUCAUGACGAGCACAUACUACGAACUACCCAUCCCACGACUAGUAGCGUCUGUUUUCCCCGAUGGGGCGGCUACCAGUCCUCGCAUCUGUCAGAAAGUUAUCCUCAUCUUUGUGAUGGGGCCUUUCUGACAAUGCAGGCCGUUCGAGUCUAGUAAACCCAAUGUCCAACGGUCCGUCCCUCCAAAAUCCACCUAGCGUCUGUUUCCCAUAUUGGGCGGCUAGGUGGUCUGCAAUAACACCAAUGCAGAAUUUCUAUACUUGGCAGCAAGUAUAAAAUGCACAAUAGUACGAUGUCAUGUCCGAGAAAAAACCGUGCCCCGAGUAUCCGGUAAAGGGCCUUAUAAUCUCCGGAGACCCUACUCCCACGGCGAAGGCGACACGCUGUGGUGAAUCGAUUGCGACUGCCACCCAGACUAGUUCGACGGGGACACCGGGUCGGGCUAGCCUGAAGGCUACCGGCGCCAAAACCACAGCGACUGCGGAUUUAGGGAAGCCUGGAUCCAUCAGUCGCAACACAAAAACAGCAUCUGGCUCGAAAGCUGGAUGCAGAAAAAUAAGCAGCGAGGUACCUCUGAAUUUCUCCAGCUAAGUCACUCACCGAAGAGGAUAAGUCCUCCUUCAGUGAGGUGGCUAAGGACCAUCUCACGCGUGCUGUCAUCGACAGGGGUAACAUAGACGGCGCUAUGUCCCCAUCUAGAUGGGACAUAGUACGAAAGAAACUGAUGGGGGUGUUCUGGGAAGUUCUUAAACAGAACGCUGCCCCCCUCAGUGGCUUGUUCCAAUGAGCGUUCAGCUUCGCUCCUGAAGCAGACUGUCGCUCUUAUCAAUGAUCCGUGGGAAGGCGCUAGGCUGGAAGAGGUCUCUGUUUACGAGAUUCCACGAAGGCCUAUUUCCACCGCCAUAAUUUCUGCGGAACCACACUAAAAGGCGGAGAUAAUGGAAUUUCUACGGAUUGGGAAUCCGGACCUUACAACACAAGUCUGGAAGGUCGUCAGGGUCUCCCAACCAGAGGGAUUGUGAUGAUUCUAAGCCAGGAGUCACUGGCGCCGCUUCGUGAGAAACAGGGGAAGGUAUACUACGGCUUCGAGUCGAUCUUUCUCCGUGUCUACCGAGGCGACGACAAGGGACUGCUGGAACAGGAUGAUCUCGAUCCUAAAAAAUCUUCUGCAGAGAUGUCAUGCGACGAGACUGAUGUUUCACUCAGUCAAAGCACCAGUAAAUCAACCACUCGGUUAGUUAAGAGCUUCUUUGACGGAUUGGAACUGUCAGUUGACGAGGACGAUCUCCUUGCCUCAGACAAGGAGUACGCAAACGUCACAGUGUUGCACAUCGACAAAGGAGAUGGUGAGAGUAACUGAAAUUAAUUUCCACCACUCCAAAGCAGCCUCGGCUGCUCUGCUCCUCCGUAUGGGCGUUGGCGUGGAGGAGCUCGCCUUAGAACAGGAAACCUGGAUCCACCAAGUGAUGAAGACACCGUCGUAGCCACAUGGGAGACCAGUGUAGAUGCUAUAUUGGUAAUAUCCGCGUAUAUGGCUCACGACCACAGCCACCAACCACCAAACAACUUGGUCCGCAGAUUUAUUGAGAUGGCUAACACUAAGGGAAUGCCGAUCAUUAUGAGGGCUGAUGCAAAUGCCCACCAGUGUCUGGGGAAGCUCGGACAUAAACGCUGGAGGAUCCGAACCGACCUUUAUUCUCCGAGACCAGUCGAAUUCGCAAAGUCUUAUCGUCAACUCCUCCAGUCCCGAUUCUCAUUCAGAAAUCAUGAGGAAACUGGACGACUAGCAGCCAGGAAACCUUGGAAGUUCUAAUGGCUACACAUUUUCCAGGCUGUCAAUCUCCUGAAAAAUGAAUUGACAUGCAGCUCUCAAAUCUCCCAGCAAAUGCCCACCACACUGUCUGGGGAAGCUCGGACAUAAACG
rnacentral:lncRNA from 1 species